AGCCUCCCAAAGUGCUAAGCCGCCGCGCUUGGCCACGAUGAUUAGGUUUUUAUGCACGUGUGGGAGAUGCGCCUCCCUUAAACCUUGUUGCGACCUUGGCACAUUACCUGUCUGAUA
rfam:Gorilla gorilla gorilla genomic chromosome, chr19, whole genome shotgun sequence